GCGGAAAGUAUAUGAUCCUAAACUGGAUUUCACGUUUAUAAACAGUAUAAAACACCAUUCACGAAGCUAGAUGUUAACAUGGCACAGUAUUUCUGGCAAUGAAACGCUCGAACUGACCAAGUGACCAAUUCACACGAACUUUUAUCGAUGGAUAAUUUUGCGAGUGUUCAUCUAAUUCAGUCACAUAUAUGCUCAAAAUCUUCGCGGUAAGUUUCUCUUUACCAUAAAACUUGACCGAAUAACUUUCGAAACAAUGCGACGGCAAAAACUGCAAAAAUCCUGAUUUUCGUAAUAGGAACUAUAGUCUUUUUGCCCUGUUGUACCGCCAUCUCGGAUUUAUCAUUUAGGCCCCUCCUGCGCUGGGUAUUCGUUAGCAAUCUAGAUCUCCUAUAUCUAUGGUUUGGAAUAUAAACACAAUAACGGCCAGACUUAGAAUUAAAAAUAGUUUCUGUUUAGCAUUAAUUCUUCAGGAAAUGGCUGAGGAAUUUUGUAAAAUGAAAUGUAAAAUUAUAUCGUUCGAAAUAAAGUUUCAAUAACACUUUUUACUUUACAAGUUUCAAUUCGAAAACACAAUAGUACAAUACAUCGUCAAGACACCAUCGGGCUACUAACUCUUGACGAAGGGCCGUCGCUCGAAACGUCGAGUUUCUGCUUAUUUUUUAUUUUUUAUUUUUUAUUUUUUAUUUUUUAUUUUUUAAGGUAGCAAUAUAACCACUCAGCACAGCAUUUUUACAUUGGUACUACCAACACUGGUACAGACAGUUUUACAAUAAAAACACGACAUAUCAAAAGAAAUAGUAUCAUACAAAUUGAGAUGUUUAUAGGAUACAAAACAAAAUUGUUUGAAAAAGAAUAUCACGGCUUUUCCCAACGUUUGGGAUAGUUUUUGCUAUUUGUUUGAAGCGAAUAUUUCGGAGUUUUAAAUAAGUUUUAAAAUGUCCGUGAAAAUGUUGACACAGUAAAAUAAUAAAGAAAUCCUACCUUUCAAGUUGAUUACAACAUUUUGUGUUUCUUCCGUUUUCUGGGACGAUUUUUUCAAUAUUUUGUCGAUUUUGAAACCAAAUUUGCCGAGUCACUGUAUUUGAAAAGCAUUAAUUACUACCCAGGUGGUAAAUAAUGCAUCAGAUUUACUAGUCGACUAGCCAAUCAGAACGCGCGAAAGCUCACUUGAGAUGCAAAAUUUAUACUAAUGUUAAGUUGAUUAUUCUAUACUUUUGAAAAAGUGACAUCAUUACGGAGUCCGUGGGAUUGUUAAUGAUUGGUUUCGCUCAUAUUUAUCGAAUAGUACACAGACAAAACAAGUUGGUGAUAAAGUAUCCGACAAAGAAUUAACUACAAUAGGUGUACCUCAGGGGUCUGUUUUAGGACCUUUGCUUUUCUUUAUUUAUGUUAAUGAUAUCUAUAAUUCAUCUAACAAAUUACAAUUUUACUUAUUUGCGGAUGAUACGAAUUUGAUGUACGCUGAUAAAGAUCUAAAAAUAUUAAGUAUAGACUUAAUGCGGAACUACUUAACGUGUGUAACUGGUUAACUGCAAAUAAAUUAUCUUUAAAUAUAAAAAAGACGCAUUUCGUGAUCAAAAUCCUUAUCAAAAGAAGAUAAAUUAUGAGGUAGAUUUGAAGAUAUUUGACAAUAAUUCAAACUCUUUUAUUUCUUUGGAACGUAAACAUUUGGGUCUGCUUAUUGACAGCAAUCUUACGUGGAAAUACCAUAUUAGUUACGUUGCUUCAAAAAUAAGUAAGACAGUGGGCAUUAUCUCCAAAUUAAGGCAUUUUGUACCCAGAAAUAUUUUAAUAAAUAUUUAUAAAUCUCUUAUUCUUCCUCAUAAUUCCUAUGGCAUAGCAGUAUGGGGUCAGGCUGCCAAAGUUCAUAUUGAUAGAAUUUUAAAGCUUCAAAAACGUGUUCUUCGGUUAAUAUAUUUAGGGGAUUACACAUCCCAUGCAAUUCCUUUCUUUACUUUUAUUUUAUUUUAUUUUCUUCUUCCAACAUUUUACCGGUUGAGAUGCUAUACUUUAAAUAUGUCUCUAUUCUGAUGCAUGAUGUACAUAAUAACUUGGCACCACUACAUAUAUCAAAUCGCCUUACUUAUACUCAUGACAUACAUGACUAUAUAAUACCAGAUUUUCUUCAAACGUUAACUUCUAUGUGAAACAUUCAUGUUUAAAUAAACUGGAUAACACUUUUUCCAGAACUGGCCCAAGAAUAUUGAACGGUAUUCCAUGCAUGUGACUUAUACGUAAUUCUCCGAUGAAUAAAUUUAAUUAAGA